AAGUCGUAACAAGGUUGUCCUUCCAUGGGGUGAUGCCUAUCGGAAGCCUAUGCGGCUCCAGAAGGGGUGGCCAUCGCGACGUUAAAGAAAGGGGCCAUGAAAUCGCAAGUCGGCAUGCGCCGGCGACACUUUCGGAUUGCGGGGGAGGCCCCCAAGUCCGGCCCUACCAGCCUAGUGGGGAGAGCUCCUAGGUGCCCAUGUACUGUACGUGGGGGUGGUGAGAAGGGGCCCGGAUCUGUAGGGGUAAUCCGCAGCCACGCUGCUAGGGUGCUACUCGCGUCCCAGUAGCGGGGUUCACAGACUCGGCGGAAGUGGGUGGGGGGCCGUAGAGGCGCCUCGCUUAGGAUAGAGUCGACCCCCCUGGGAAACCCGGGGGGGAUAUGAGGCUGUUCCGUAGGUGAACCUGCGGAAGGAUCAUUACCGAGUGCGGGGGCCCGGCUCCAAUCUCCAACCCUCUGUGUAUCCAUUCUCGUUGCUUUGGCGGGGGGGCCCUCUCUAGGGCCCCGUCGCCUCCGGAUGCCCGGAGGGUGAACCCGUCAGGGGGUCAUCUUAACCUCUCUAAUAGUGGGCUCUGAGCGUAGGCCAAUAGUCUAAAA
rnacentral:misc_RNA from 1 species